rnacentral:tRNA from 1 species
GCGGGAGUAGCGCAGUGGUAGCGUAGGAGCUUCCCAAGCUUUAGGCCGCAUUGGGAGGAGUUCGAUCUCUUGUA